AGAAGGGGGUUCUUGAGGAUCUUGAAUGGAAGAAUUAUGAAGAAGAAGAAGGAUCUUGGGGAGGGAGCAUCACUGUUGUGAGAACCUAAUCAAAUUAUCUUUCUGGAUCAGUUGCACAUCAGCCUUUUAUGGCUGCAGCAGCAAUGGAGCAUUGAUGAAGCAUUACAGCAAACACUGACACUAAAAAGGAUGUGCAAUUUCUCAAAAGACAGCCAUAAACCAAGAAUAUUCCACUUUUUCCUGUAAGAAGGACUGACAGUGUUGCAACUUUUUGUUGAAUACCUCAAGUUGCCAAAUCAUGACUUCAUCCAGGUUCUGGAGCUCACAGCUGGUGUAGUAUUGGCUGGAAUGAUGGAGAAAGGGAAAGAAUACUGAUGUGUACAGUAGAAAUGGCAGAGCAGAAAACAAUUAAGGUGAUUAAGAAUUGAAAAUGAAGAGGAGGACAAAGAACAUGAUGAGCUGCAAAACAAUGAAUAUUGAUUGCUUACCAAUGACCUCAUUUUUCAAAUGAAGACCUAUUGGAUUCUAUCAGAGCUGGUUGCUGAACUUGCAGUCCAGAUUCUUUAAUUUUUAAUAUUUUUUUUUCUUCUGUAGGUUUGUAUUUCUAUAUCUGAACAAAAUUAUGCGGUUUCAUUUUAUGGCUUUUAUAAAUGUUUAUUAUUUCAAAAUGGUCUGUCUGAA